rnacentral:rRNA from 1 species
UACGUAGGGGGCAAGCGUUGUCCGAAUUUAUUGGGCGUAAAGAGCUCGUAGGUGGUUCGGUAAGUCGGAUGUGAAAUCUCCAGGCUCAACCUGGAGGGGUCAUUCGAUACUGUCGGGCUAGAGUGCGGAAGAGGCGAGUGGAAUUCCUGGUGUAGCGGUGAAAUGCGCAGAUAUCAGGAGGAACACCUAUUGCGAAGGCAGCUCGCUGGGACGUAACUGACGCUGAGACGCGAAAGCGUGGGGAGCAAACAGG